CCUACGGGAGGCAGCAGUGAGGAAUAUUGGUCAAUGGACGCAAGUCUGAACCAGCCAUGCCGCGUGCAGGAUGACGGCUCUAUGAGUUGUAAACUGCUUUUGUACGAGGGUAAACCCCGAUACGUGUAUCGGGUUGAAAGUAUCGUACGAAUAAGGAUCGGCUAACUCCGUGCCAGCAGCCGCGGUAAUACGGAGGAUCCGAGCGUUAUCCGGAUUUAUUGGGUUUAAAGGGUGCGUAGGCGGUUUGAUAAGUUAGAGGUGAAAUGUCGGGGCUCAACCCCGAAACUGCCUCUAAUACUGUUGGACUAGAGAAUAGUUGCGGUAGGCGGAAUGUAUGGUGUAGCGGUGAAAGGCCUAGAGAUCAUACAGAACACCGAUUGCGAAGGCAGCUUACCAAACUAUAUCUGACGUUGAGGCACGAAAGCGUGGGUAGCAAACAGGAUUAGAUACCCUGGUAGUC
rnacentral:rRNA from 1 species